GAUGAAGAACGUAGCGAAAUGCGAUACUUGGUGUGAAUUGCAGAAUCCCGUGAACCAUCGAGUCUUUGAACGCAAGUUGCGCCCGAAGCCAUUAGGCCGAGGGCACGCCUGCCUGGGCGUCACACGUCGUUGCCCCCCCAUCUACUCCUUCGGGAUUGCGGGGGGCGGAUGAUGGCCUCCCGUGCGCCUCGUCGCGCGGUUGGCCUAAAUGCCAAGUCCUCGGCGACGCACGCCACGACAAUCGGUGGUUGCGAAACCUCGGUUGCCUGUCGUGUGCGGUCGUCGCGCAUCGAGGGCUCGAAAAAAUUGCCGGGCUUCGGCUCGACUUUCAACGCGACCCCAGGUCAGGCGGGGUUACCCGCUGAACUUAAGCAUAUCAAAAGCGGAGGA
rnacentral:misc_RNA from 1 species